AAUUCGCGAUUGUUACUAAGUUAGAAGAGAACUUUGAGAAUAAAAUAUGUAUAAUUAUCGUAUUUAAUUUUUUUUUCCACGUGGAUAACAUUUGAUGAAUAAGUGUGGGAUAAAAUUCUUCAUUCCGUCCUUUUACGUAUGCACUGCAAUUGUUAUGUUUUUUCCGCAAAAUUUGUGUGUGUGUGUGUUCCUCGUAUUAACAAAAACCGUUGCAAAUCGAGUGUAAUGUGUAAUGUGCUGCCGGUACACGCUUUCUGGAACUCGUGAAAGAUAUAAUAGCUACUGUGACACCCGGACAUUUCUCGAUUUAUGCGUAUACGGGGUGCCCCAAAGAUGGGGAUCGCGAGCUUAAUUCUUUAUUGAAGCUGAAAAAAUGACGCUACACCAAGAGGAAUUCGAAAUUUUUGGGACUGAGAAAAUUUUUCAAUUCUCCAAUAAAAACAAUGUGUUAGUCCAAUAAAACUUUUAGCUGAACCAGCGAAUCGUGACAAACAGAAAAAAAUUCACUGACUCAAUGGGAAAUUUGGUCGUGUCAUUCGUAGAAUAUUGCGCUCGACGAUAAAAAACAUUGUGGAUAAUUUUCAUCUUUGGCCACCGCGAUUUGGCGAUCGAACAAAUAUUUUGAUAAAUCGAUGAAUUCUUUUGUUCGGGGAGAAAGUAAAACGAAAAUUCUUCGAAACUAACCUAACUUUACGAUGCAUUUUUUAGUUUCAACUCUCUCCGCCUAUCAAUGCGCAGUGCUCUCUGCAAUUGUUAGUGAAUAUCUUGUGACCACCUCAAAACUAAAUCUGUGGAAAAUAUCAAGAGGAAUGUGAAAAUGAGGAGAGUGACCAGUGGAAAAUUAUUUUUCGCCAUGUUCAUUUUUUUUCUUGUGUUCUAACGGCGCGAACUCCAAAACUGACUUCGCAGACACUCUUUAUAUGCAGCGUGUGAAAGCUUAUGACACUGAGUCUUUCUAUUCCUGGAUACUUUCUACGGAAAAACGUUUGCCUGAUUUUACAGCACACGUGUAUAAAGAUUCAUUUAUUUUUCUGUACAGCAUUAACUUCGAUUCUAUGGUCUCUAUAUAUCCGUGCGUUGUUCAUUAUUCCCAUACGUAUAUGUGAAAUAUUCAGAGAUUCACUGUUACAGGCGAGACAUCUCCCGGAAUAGUUUUCACCGAAUUACCGAUAGUUGAUCCUUUCCAAGUAUCCGGGAAACGUCACGAUUCUCAUCCUCGAUUAAUAAUAAACCGAGUAACACCGACGCGAAAGCUUUUCUACAGCUCGCGUCGCGGUUCCUGAUAGUUUAUUGUGUUGUGAUCGUGGAAUCGAACUCGUUCGUACUUUCACUAUGAUGAAUGUUUUCGCUGAAGAAGUUUGGCGCAAAUCACUCCGAUUGCGCGAGUGUAUCACGAGAUUUUGUGGUUCAAUAUUAAGGUAAUUUGAAAUCGAAGAAAAUGAGCGGUGGCCGAGACUCUAACAUUCUAUGCAAAAAUCAUCAAAGCAAUGUUAAUGGUGAAACCGUGAAAAAGUCAGAAAACGGAGAAUCUAUUUUGCGCUGUUCGAGCAUCAAGAACGGAUGUCCGGCGUGGAAAAGAAGCUCCCCGCCCUCGCCCCUCGGCUACGCGAGUACGGAGCUGACUCCGGUUGCAUAAAUUCAGACUCUCAUUAAUCCGAGAUGAAUCUUCGAGGAGCGGGAAGGGGGCGGUUGGAGUGUGCACUGGAAACGAGGAGGACGGGUCGGGAGGCUGAAGCAACUCGAAGUUAAAUAAAUAUGAAGAAAAGGUCCGAGGAUUGAAACGAAGCAGACGAUUCCCGACUUCGAACGAACCUCAAACAAUCUUUGGGAGCAAUCUUCAUCCCCAGAACCAAUGAAACAGCGAUGGGAGCGAGAAACUUGAGAGUGGAGAAACAACGCUGCGAAAAAGGAAGAAGAGAGCAAUUUAAACUCAAACUUUUUCGUCAAUCGCCACUAAAAGUGUCUGAAAAAGUGAGAGCAACAGAGAAAGAGAAAUGAAGGGAGGCCAAGAGGCUAAAUUCUUUUUAAAAAGGAAUCAAAAGAACAAUUUAUUCAGCUACAAUUCCUCGGGACGGUACAAGCCUCGAGUGUACCUGUUUAAGUGGUGUAUAAAAGAAGCCUUUUAUAAUAGCUGGAAGUCGGCUUAAAGAAAGCUGCCGGAUGCAGGAUAAAGUGAGAGAGAAAAGGAGAGGGAGGGACGUCAUUAUCUUAUCUCGGAGCACUUCCUGUCAACCUGGGACUCGAAGAACCUCUCUCAACGUGUACAGCUCCUUUCGUGGUAAUCGCAAAGAACGCUGUGCCACGACUUGCAACUUUGCGCGCACAUAGACGCUUCGACCCUCGGAGCGACACACGCACCUAUAUCCAUCCACGGAGGUAUGCACAUGGACGAAAGCGUAAUGUGCAUCUAGUAAAUACACGAGCACUAAUCUCCUGUCAUAAAGACAAACACACACAGAGGAACUCGAUCACCCACACUCGCCGUCGCCCUGCCAAGGCAUUCCUUGCUGUAGGUAUUACUUCCGGUCGAGCGACGACGUUCGUAGUGGAAUAACAUUGUGUCGAAGCUCACACGACUGUGCACGGCGGACACUCGCAUAUGCUCGUGUGCCAUUCAACGUGCCCAUAAACACACAUCCGAGAAGGCGGCUCCAACGAUAAUCGUUCUCCUUCUGGCCCAGAAGAAUCGACGGAGCGUAAGAGUGCACGAGGCAUCGACUGCUGAUGAAGAAUUUCGGCCUUUCCCGGGUCAACAAAAUACGGCUUGGAUAAUAAUUAUCGAUCUAGCAACGAAGAAACUUGGAAACUCUCACACUGCGAACUAAACGUCGCGUAUGUGCGAAUCUACUCGAACAUAUUUAGUUCUGACGUUUACGUAACGUUUUAAUAGACGUCGAUCAACGAUCCCCUCCAUCUUCAGCCUCAUCUUGGCGUUCCAUUCUCUUCCUCUUUGUCUUCGUAUCUUUUUUCCUUUGGCUCGAUCUUACGGUACGCGAUGCUUAGUAAUUUGACGCGUUCGUGAGCACAUGAGCCUUUAACGACGUGCCGUGUGAAUUUAUGCGAGUUCGCAAGGUUCAUUAAUCCUUAAUGUCCUAUCCCGUGAUUUCACCUACAGAACAAUUUCUUCCUUUUUCGAAAAUUCGUUUCGAAAUCUGAAAAAAUUUGAAUCAAUAAACAAAGUAAAAUCGAAUCAAACAAAAUUCAACAAUAAAAAAUAAUGAAAAAAAGCAAAUCGAAUUCGUUGGCUAAAAUGUUUGUUGAAUGAAAAAAUUUCAUUCAGUUUCCCACGAUUUGUUGAUAGCCAACCAAAACUUUGUUCCACCAACAAAUUUCUUUUCUCCCCGCAGAUGGGGACGAUAUUAGCACUCAAUUUUUUUUCAUCUUCGUGAACGUGUGGAUAUGAGAAAAAGGAAAAAAAAGACGAAUAAAAGUGUACGUCAAACGUUGCCCAUGUCGCUGUCUCGUCCUGACGCGGAUGUGUCUGGCAACGUGAAGCCCGAAAAAUUUUCGUGAACGAAACGAGGAGAUCCUGAGCAAGAGCAAACGUGGGUGCAAGAACGAGAGAGGAAGGGGCAAGCGGGGGACAGCGAGAGGGAGGGAGUGUGAAUGAAGGAAAACGUAGUCAGGUUAGGCGAGGUUCGAGUUCCAACUGUGGAGCAAAUCGUUAUCUGUCGAGGAGCAGCAGCAGCAGCAGCAGCAGCGGCAGAAGAAGAAGAACAAAAAAACGACUUUCGACGUUCGACACAGCUCCGGGGUCUCGGGGAUCCUCCCACACUGGGAUAAACACCUAUAUAAAUAUGGGAAAUUUAAUGUCGAGUGAAUGAUUCGAAAGAAUAAAAAAGAGCAGCGAGGUGUCAUCGAAA